rnacentral:rRNA from 1 species
GAGUUUGAUCCUGGCUCAGAUUGAACGCUGGCGGAAUGCUUUACACAUGCAAGUCGAGCGGCAGCGCGGGGCAACCUGGCGGCGAGCGGCGAACGGGUGAGUAAUGCAUCGGAACAUGUCCAUGUCGUGGGGGAGUAGCCCGGCGAAAGCCGGAUUAAUACCGCAUACGCCCGAGAGGGAAGCCGGGACCGCAGCCUGCGCGAUGGUUGGCCGAUGUCCGAUUAGCUAGUUGGCGGGGUAAGAGCCCACCAAGGCGAUGAUCGGUAGCUGGUCUGAGAGGAUGAUCAGCCA